rnacentral:rRNA from 1 species
AUGGCGAUUAACCGACGGCCAAAGAAGAAGAGAAACACAAGAGCGGCUCACCGCGAACCGCUCGAUUGGCUGGAUCUCCCCUCCGAACUGCUGGAGCUCAUCGCCCAGCGAUCCCGCGAUCCCAUCACAGGGCUCACCGCGUUCCGGUCUGUCUGCCGGACAUGGCGCGCCGCGUCAGGGCAAGCGCCUCGCCUGCUGCUCCCCGCCCCUCGGAACCGCUCCGCUCCCCGUGCCGGCUCAGCGCACGCGCUCGUCUUCCCCUUGCCGGGCGGGUGGUCGGUCGUCGUCGAUGCCCGCGACGCGUCCUGCCGCCUCUCGCACCUGACCACCGGCGCCACCGCCGCUCUGCCCAAGAUCAGCGCGGUCCACGACGGCAAGACCAUGUCCGACAUCAGGUACGUGCACCAUACGGCUGACGAGAGCGCGCGCAAGGUCCAGAUCCGCACCCCCUUCUAUGAUGUAUCCUUCCGAACAUACCUUGAAUUCUCAGAUCACUUCCGCUUCGCCAUUCAUGCCCCGCCCGGUUCUUUGUCAGCAAGCACAGACGACAUGAUGAUCAUCAUGUUCCACCGCUGCUUGCUGGAACGAGAGAGCAUAGUGGUCUGCCGGCCGGGAGACGCGGCCUGGACGAAGCUGCCAAAACGCCCGUCUUCUCGCUUCGACUAUUUCAUCGAUGUAACCUCUUUUCAGGGCAAGAUUUAUGGCUUGGAAUCUAAUGGUGCCACAUUGGUGUUUGACGCAACCACACUCGAGUUCCUCUGCUCGAUUGAUGCGCCACAGUCGACGUCCAAGCUUUACUCCAUGAUAUAUUGGCCUUACAAACAUGAUGAUCCUGUCGAUUUCGACUACUUCCAUCUCGUUGCAUUGCCAAGCAAGCUACUUUUGGUCGUUCUAAGCGUGAAAUCACUUGAGCCAGCAGGUUUUGCCUUCUUUGAGUUAACGUCUGGAUCUAGGGAUGGCCAGCUCUCCUGGCGUAAGGUAACAGGAGAUGGAAUCGGUGGCAACUACGAUGUGUUCAUGGAUUGCCACCAUGCGACCUUUAGCGACAAUAAUGGUGUUGGAACCGGAGCUCGGAUAUAUUAUGUUCUUCACCGGACGUGGCAUCCCAAAGCAUCGGCGUACUACUAUGAGAUGCAUGACGGCAAGAUGGAGUGCCUGUACAUGUCACUAGACGAUAAUCGUGAAUACUCAACUAAGCCUAGUUGGUUUGUUCCCUAG